CUUUGCAUUGAAAUGUUUGUCUCCAUCCUGUAGGGUUCACUUGUGUAAAAUAUGUGACAUGUCCUUUUAUUAUCUGCAGAAUAAAUUAUCUGAGAGUAUUAUGCAAGGUCACUAGAACAUGGCCUCAUAUAUACUAUAUUGAACAUACAGGUUAGGCAACGAUGAACAUGUAAAUAAAAUAAAAUUCCUGACCUGCAGUUUGCUUUUAUCGGCCUUCCGGAUGUAAAAUAUCUGAAAAUGUCUCCCUGUGCAGCGAUGUCAGUUAUUGAGUGGGUUGAUGAUUUGUAUGAGUUCACUAGACUGAUGAUCUGAAGAGACGAUGGCCCCCUGG
rnacentral:lncRNA from 1 species